UGACAAUGCAAGCCACAGGAUAGUGAGUGACACAACAUCCACGCAUGAGCUUCAUUCUCUGUCUGCCAUAGCCUGUAGGAAAAUGUCACAUGGGAAGAACCCACACAUUCUCCGAUAAGCAAAGGACACAGGAUGGUGUUGAGGUGAGAUGGAACUCUUUGCUGGGCUGGUGACAUCAGCUGUGAGACUCAGAUGACAAGUCGCUAGCAGAGAGAAGGCAAGAGUGAAGGCAUUUAGACAAGAGCACAACUACAAAGGCCCUAAAUACAGGUUAGUGUGGCUGGAACACCAGGAAUGGGGAUAGACAUGUCCUGGAGUGUGGAUGCGGGGACAGACAGGGAAGACUAAAGAGUAGAAAUUGCCUGGAGAGCCAUUUGUUUCCCCAUAGUCUCGGCCUGCUCUUGAUCAACAAAAGUGUGGUGGUUCGAAUAGGUAUGGCCCCCAUAGACUCAUAUAUUUGAAUGUUUGGCCCAUAGAGAGUGACACUAUUAGGAGGCAUGGCCUUAUUGGAGUAUUUGUAGCCUUGUUGGAGAAAGUGUGUCACUGUGGGGGUAGGCUUUUAGGUCUCAUAUGCUCAAGCCAUGCACACUGUCUCCUUGGGCUGCCUGGAUCAAGAUGUAGAACUCUUAGCUCCUCCAGCACCAUGUCUGCUUGCAUGCUACCAUGUCCCACCAUGAUGACAAUGGACUGAACAUCUGAAACUAGCCUUCACCCAGUAGCUGAUCUAGAAGGAGAAGCAGACACUCACAGCUAAGCACUGAGCCAUACUCCUGGAAUCCAGUUGUUGAGAGGGAGGGGGGAUGAGCAAAGCAGUCAAAACCAUGCUGGAGAAACCUACAGAAACAGCUGACCUCACCUAGAAGAGCACAUGGACUCCAGUCAUAAAGCUGGGGAACCAGCAUUGGACUGAACCAAGCCCUAGGAAUAUGGGUGCUAGUUAGGAGACCAGGUCAGUCUAUGGGACCUCUAACAGUGGAGCCAGUGUUUAUCUCUAGUGCACAAAUGGAUUUUGGGAGCCCAUUCCCUAUGGAGGGAUACUAUUGCAGCCCAGAUACACGGAGGAGGGCCUAGGCCCUUCUCCAAAUGAUGUGACAGACUUUAAUGAUCCCCCAUGGAAGACCUCACUAUCCUUGGAGGUGGG
rnacentral:lncRNA from 1 species